GCGGUAGGUGAGUAAGAGGGAGAGAAGGCAAAGGAGCCGAUUGUGGGGACGUUGUUAGAACUGUAAAGCCUCACUCCGGAGACACUGUGGGGCGUUUCAACGAGAAUCGCGUCGCAGGCAUUUUUCUGUUGCUCGUCCCCCUCCCGCGCCAAUCGCACAGCCCGGCCGCGCCCAGGUUCCGGAUCUGAGUUUGGGGUCCGCCUGGGGGCGGAACUCCAGCCCUGCGAUUCUGGCCUUCCGGACUCUUUGAGCUCGGCUCUUCUCGGCAGCCCCAACGUCUGCACCUUAUGCUUGGCCCCUGGUUUUAGUGAGUCCUUAAUGCAUAGGAUCCUACAGCUGCCAGACUGUUUAAUAGAGACCAUCUCAUUUCAUUUCUGCCGUAUUUUAGAGAUGAGAACACCGACGUCCCCCUUACCUGAAAUAGCAGGACGGAUGGAGCCAAGAACCCGGGGUUCAAAUCCUAACUUUGUGCCUGCCUCUGCACAAGCCAUAACCGUGCUCUUUUUGGGGGAGCUGAGUUUGUUAAAGGGGUUCAACCCACCUACCUCACUGGUUGGAUGGGAAGCUUAAGAAACAAAGUGUGGGAAAACAUGGGCCCAGUGUGCACUGAGCACAAAACCGCGCUGGACAAAAAUGCUCUUUGAAACAAAAUCUUAGUACUCAACUCUACUGAGGCUCCGUUAAGACAGAGACAAGGUCAUUCCUGUACCACCCGCUCCGCAAAAGUUUAUGGCCCCAAAUCCUUUCCCAUGUGGUAAAAUGAUAUUCAACAAGGGUGCCAGGACCAUUCCAUGAGGUAAAUCUACUCUUUUCAACAAACAGUAUUGGGAAACCUGGAUAUUCACAUGUGAAAGAAUGAAGUUAAACCUUUACCUUAUACACCAUAUACAGAAGUUAAUUCAUAAUGCACCAAAGAACUACCUGUAAGAGCUGAAAGUAUAAAACUCUUAGAAGAAAACAGGAAAGCUUCAUGACAUUGGAUUUGGCAAUGAUUUCUUGGGCAUGACAGCCAAAGCACAGACAGCAAAAGAAAAAAGAUAGAGAGAGAGACAGCGAGAGAGGGAAUACAAGCAGGGUGAGUGGGAGAAGCAGGCUUCCCACGGAGCAGGGAGCCCUAGGAUCAUGACCUGAGCCGAAGGCAGACACUUAGCGAAUGAGCCACCCAGGCGUACCUCUUGCUGUAUCUUCAUCUCAGUAGGCUCCACACCCAGCAUGGAGCCCAAUGCAGGGCUUGAACUCACGACCCUGAGAUCAAGACCUGAGCUGAGAUUAAGAGUUGGAUGCUUAACCAACUGAGCCAUCCAGGUGCCCCGAUCCAGAAUAAUCUUCAAAAAAAAUUUUUUUAAAGGAAGAUCAUGUUACUCCUCUGCUUAAAACCAUGCAAUGACUUCUCAUUUUACCUAGGGGAAAAACCAAAGUUGUCUCAGUGGCCUAAAGGCCCGUAUCAUCUCUCUGACCCCCUCUCCUACUAUCCUUCCCCUGCCUCAGUCCACUGGCCUCCUUGCUGCUCUUCAAAUAUGUCAGGCCCACACUUACCUGAGAGCCUUUGUGCUGGCUGUUGUCACUGCCUGGAAAGCUUUUCCUUAGAUAUUUCCUAACUCGCUUUUGUCAAGUCUUUGUUCAAAAAUCACCUCCUUGAUAAGGUCUACCUGACCACCUUACUUAAAAGUAGUAUUCAUAUCCCCCUCUACCAUAGACACUCCUUAUCCCCCUUACGCUAUUUUGCUUUUUGUUUUUCCAUAGUGCCUAUCACCUUGCAACAUACUAUAUAAUUUAUUUAUUCAUUAUGUCUACUCGUUAUUGACUCACUAGGACAUAAGCUUCAUGAGGACAAGAAUCUUUUUGUCACGAAUAUAUCCUAAGAACCCAGAGCAGCACCUGGCACAUAACAGACACUUAACACAUGUUUGUUAAAUAAAUGAAUUCUUCAAAACUUAUCUCAGAUAUUGGGUUCUUCACCAAGUUUUCCCUAGCUGUGAACACACCCCACUCUCCCUCAAACAGAUGAAAUGAACCCCUCCCUUCCUUGUGAUACCUUUGUACCUUGUACUGUUGUUGCAUUUUCCAGAUAAUAUUGUAGUUUGCAUGUCUAGAUUAUUAGGGCAAGGUUUAGGACCUGUCCUAUUAAUUUCUGCAUUCUUGUGGCUCAGCUCAGGACCUGACAAUAAUAUACAUGGAUUAUUUUGAUGAAUAAACUAAUAAAGCCACACCAAGACUGAAUGUCUACAAAUACCCCAUUGGUGAGGGUCUGGGAAAACGGGCCCACCCUCAGUGUUGACGGGAGUCUAAAUUGAUUUAAGCUCCCUGCAGUACAGAGUGAAAAUAUCUAUCAAGGUGGACAUAACCUUUGACCCAGAAAUUCUACCUUUAGGAAUUUAUCUGACAAACUUAUUCAUGUAUUUCAAGAUGCAUUACAAAGAUAUUCAUUGUAGCAUUGUUUAUAAUAUCAAAACAAACAAAGAAAACCAAUAGAAUUGUCCCAUCAGUAGGGUCACAAUAGAAUAUGAUUCAUCUACUAAAUAGGAUGAGACAUACCUACAUGUACAAACCUGAAAUAAGCUCCAAGUGGAGCUUAUUCAAGUGGAAACAGUAUAAUGUAGGAAAACAUAUAGUAUGUUAAUAUGUGCAUUUCACAAAAAGGAGGAGAUUAGAUACACACAUGCUUAUAUAUGCAUAGUAUGUUUUGGAAAGAUAAAGGAGAAACUCUGAAUAGGGGCUGCCUCUAGACAGGAGAAUUAGAGGUCAGGGUGGGGGGGAAACAUAUUUUUACGGCAUACUCUGUUAUUGUUUGAAUUUUUUAUCAUGUGUAUCAGCUUAUCAAUAAUAAUUAAAAUUUUUCUAAAUAAUAAAAAAAGCCUCAAAGGUGCAUAUUGGGCAAGGAUGGAGAAGAGAUGCAGCUCUCCAUUAUGCUUCAGGUGAUUGAUUGAUUGAUUGAAAAAUGACAGAUCUUUUUUAGGAGCCUCUGUCCCAAUAUCUCUCUCUUUCUCUCCCUCUCUCUGUCUCUGUCUUUAUCUCAUUACUUCUUUGGUCAUCUCUUUCAAAAUGAGCAGCUUGGCCACAGAGAUGUCUUGUCAGCAGAACGGUCUGGUGGUAAAGAAGACAAGAUCUGGGCUGGGAACCUGAUCUGGCAUAGAGCCACUCCUUGAGCAAUGUGGCUAUGGCGCACUGGACUGUGCCCAAAGCAACUUGAUUCAGGCUGUUAAGAUCCACGUAGUACAUUAGGGGCAGUCAGAGACUCUAUGUAGUGGCUAUAUUCAGCAUGGGGUUCGAGUAAUUAGUUUCUUACAACAAGGCUCAGCCUGACAUUAUGAGCACAGGGAGACAGUCUUGACUCCAAGGGCCAGCACUGGCCAGGGGAGUCUGGGAUGCCAAGGAGGGAGGGCUAGGUCCAGUCCUAGGAAACUGUUUUGACAUUCAGGGAAACUGAGGCAGAAACCUUGGUCCACAGAGCAGAGGAAAGGGGAACGGCAGGGGCUGGGUGGGCUUAAGAUUCCCAGGACUCUCCUUAGGCAGUCAGAGGAAGCCAUAGGUACCUGGACUUUUUAGAAAAUAGAGGGAAGGACAUAUUAUGUGGAAAUGGCAAGGAUACAGAAAGGGAAGUGAGUUAGUGGGGUAUAAACUCCAGCACUUAGCCUAAAGCUUUUUCUGUUCCUCCCACUUUCACAAGCCAAAGUUGUCAUAGAAUUGGGUCCCUUGCUCCUAUGAUUCUAGUGCUGGAAGGGUCCUGAAAGAUUCUAACCAAUGCUAUGGGUGAUGGCAGAAUCCUAAAUUCUAGGCGUGAUUCAUAUACUCGCAGAACUGGUAAAGCCUUCAGAGACCGUGGGACCUGGUAUACAAGGCCCUUCUCCUGCUUUCUCCUCGGGAACAGCAUGCCUGGAAGAAUUUUCCCCACAGCCUUUUCCUGCCUGGCCCCAGUCCCCGCUCCCAAUCAGCCCAUACCUGAGACAGCUCUGCUUUCUCCUCCUCCAGGGCCGGCUGAAAGUCAGGAGGCAGCACACUGCUGCAAAGCCCAGAAAGCCCCCCAGAUUGCUGGUAGUCAGACCAGCUUCAUUAAAAUGAACUUUGUUCCCCGGGGAUUUGAUCAUGGAGGUGUUAUUGUGUACUUGAUCACAGUUCCUAUGGCUACAGGCUCACAGUGGGAAGGAACCGGUAUACAUCAGCAUCUUCCUGUAAAAUAGGGACUUGACCUCAUUUAUAGUCAAACAUGCAGCAGGCAACCUUGCAAAUGGCACAGCAUGAAUAGAAUUCAGAGAGUUCUGAUGACUUAAGUAGAAAAGAACAUUAAAUAAAACAGUACAUGUGAAAGUAUGUGUUCAAUCCCUGGUUCAGCUUAGGUACUUAAUGGCUGUUAAGUAUUCAUAACACUAAUCUUUACAUCAUCCAACUGAAAGGUUGCAAACUGACAGUCCUCAGGCCAAAUCAAACCCAUAGACCUCUACUGUAUGAUUUCAGACUGCUUAAA